rnacentral:lncRNA from 1 species
GUGGAGCCUGGCGACUGCUUUGGGAAGUCCUGCUGGCAGGCACUCUGCCCCUGGGGGUGUGCAAAGAGUUGUCCAGUUACCUUGAUCUUCUCACAGCCUCCUCCCCAGGGCACCAGGAGAGACCAGGAUUGGAGGACGGUAAAGAACACACUUCCCAGAGGAUUCUUGGAGGUGGCUUCCUCCAGGCAGUAAAUCUACAGCCCAGGCUCCCUGCAUCUUAUGGCUCCAAUCACUUUGGAUCUCAUCGUCGCCUGCACAUUGCCAUACACAGGGAAGGAGAAGAGAUGGAGAAGGCAAAGACUUUCUGAAAGCCGUGGCUAAAAGCUGGCAUGUGUCACAUCAGCUCACAUUCCAUUGUAGAGACGGGGUUUCACCGUGUUAGCCAGGAUGGUCUUGAUAUCCUGACCUCGUGAUCCGCCCGCCUUGGCUUCCCAAAGUGCUGGGAUUACAGGCGUGAGCCACCGCUCCCGGCCUGGCAGGCAUUCUUGAGGCAAACGGGAAAUGGGGUAAGUUACACAAUCGAUACAGCUCCGUCAUCGUGGUUUAAUUACUUUUCCACGUACCAUGUUUCCUGACAGGUAGAACGAUCAGCCUGGGCCUCCGUUUUUCAUUCUACAAAGAAUGAAGUGCAUGAACUGUCCUCUAUAGAAUUGUGGAAAAAGUUGUUUUUAUUGAGUUGUGGUUAUCUUUGUCUUCAUGGUCUAAUUACGGAAAUAAAUGCUUUUCCGAGUCUCCGGGGAUGGUCUGCCCUAGUCCAGCUCUCUGCAGUGUCUUUCUGGGUUUUUCCUCAGUGAACGGGAGGAACAUUGGCAGCACUUGUGGUCUGCACCAAGAACUGAAUCGAAUUUCCAUGUGUUAUUGAAUGUUCACAAAGACCUUGUACAGCGAGUGUUACUACCUCUGGUCAAUGAUUCAACUCAAGGCUCAGAAAAGUCAAGUGUCUUGUCCAGGGACACUUAGUCAGAAGUGAAUCCAAGGUUUAAGCUCAAGUCUGCCUAACUCUGAAUUUCACAGCCUUUUGCUACAUAUGGCGAAUAAUAUAUCCCUGAGCACUAAAGGCAGACUCCAAGGAUCUUGUCUCUGCAAUCAUCAUUCUGGCCAUAAUUUAUGAAAAGCAACCCAAAGUAUGUGAUGUAAUAAAAAGUACUAUCUAUGAGUUUACCCUUCCAAAAAUUGAACUGAAUUCUGAGCUCUAAAUUUGGAAUCAAAAGAACUUUUCUCUGCACUAAUCAUUUGGAACAUCACUUAAAGAAAACAACGAAAAACUGGUGUCCCCUGAGAGAAAGCAAUACAAAACAUUAUGCAUAAAGAAAUCCUUCCAAAAAAUAAACCAAAUCCAGUCAAAUCUCUAGUUUUGACUCCUAGCUUACCGGAAAUACGUGAUGGGAAAAAAAUGAAAUGACACCACUAUGAUUCAAUCAGCCAAAUCCAGCAUAUGCAAAUUUCUACCAGAUAAAUGGUUUAGUUUCUUCCCCAAACAAAUGGCACAAGGAAACGGAGAUGGAGUUCCCCUCUGCCACCCAGACUGGAGUACAGUGGCGCGAUCCUGGCCAUCGCAACCUCCGCCUCCCAGAUCCCUCCUACAACACAUGAGAAUUGUGGGUGCUACAAUUCAAGAUGAGAUUUGAGUGGGGACAAAGUCAAACCAUAUCAUUAGAUAGGACACUGGAGAAAGGCAAGAAAGAAAAGACAUCUGAAGAAUGAAGGGAGCCAAAGAAAUGCCAACAUUUUGCUUUUUGAAGAAAAGCUAAAUUAAAGUCAAAAUGGAUUUAUCAAUUUCCUUGGGUUCGUGAAUGUACAGAACUUUAUUAAGACUGUCAUGCUGUCAUCAUGGCUGGAUCUGAUACGGCCACCGUGGACCUUGAGGUGACCUCGGGAAUGGAGACAGUGCAUGGGAGAGAAUCACAUUGGAAGGGGCCUGGGUUUCUGAAGACCCUGUAAGACAGAUCUCCUUGCAGCCCUGACUGCCCACAUUAGGGCUUUUAUGUUAGGGUGAAGUUACCUUGCAUUGUCAUAUAAGCAAUUGCUAUUUGUGGUGUCUUGCAAAUAAACCUAUUCUGAUCUAGUAUGUUUCCUAAAAAA